rnacentral:rRNA from 1 species
GGGUCAGUAGAUUGGUCGUGCCACUGGUAUGUACUGGUCUUACUGGCUCCUCCUUCCUGAUGAACCGUAAUGCCAUUAAUUUGGUGUUGCGGGGAGACUGGACUGUUACUUUGAAAAAAUUAGAGUGUUCAAAGCAGGCCUGCGCCUGAAUACGUUAGCAUGGAAUAAUAGAAUAGGACG